CAGUGUCCCCUCCCCUAGUCCUUUACACACACCUGCUAAGCCAGGCCUGGGACCCACAGCUCCAUCAUGUGAGCUGUACACGGCCUGGCAGGUUGAGGUGCUAGGUCACCCCUCACCUUUAAAAGGCCUCAGGUCAUACCAUUCAUGCGUGCUCUGGGGCCCUCAGAGCCCAAGCUCCCAGCCUGAGGGUCUAGGGCUGAGGCCUCACCCGCCCAUAGUCCUGCAGUGACCCCAGCUCUGUCAUGAGUCCAGCCGGCUCCAGCCGGGCCAGGAGCAGCUGUACUGGGACACGCUGAAGCAGCUGUCCAAGCACAUCAAGCCCCUGCACCGCGUGGUCAACAAGAUCGACAAGAGUGAAGACAGAAAAAAGGACCUGAGCAAGAUGAAGAGCCUUCUGGACAUUGUGACAGACCUCUCCAAGCAGUCCCCUGAAGACCUUGCCAAAGUGUGAGAUCGCCCUGGAGAAACUCAAGAAUGACAUGGCGGUGUGGUGUGCACCCGGAAGCACAGGCUUGAGGACGAUGAGCGGCAGAGCAUCCCCAGCAUGCUCCAGGGCGAGGUGGCCAGGCUGGACCCCAAGUGCAUGAUAAACCUGGACUCUUCUCGCUGCAGCAACAAUGGCACCGUCCACCUGGUCUGCAAGCUGGGCGAGCGUCCAGGAGGGCCAGGCCGGCACAAGUUCGCAAGCCUUGUCCACAGCACCAGGUCUCUGCCAUCCGAGCCG
rnacentral:lncRNA from 1 species